rnacentral:rRNA from 1 species
CAGUCGUGAGGAAGGUAGUGUAGUUAAUAGCUGCAUUAUUUGACGUUAGCGACAGAAGAAGCACCGGCUAACUCCGUGCCAGCAGCCGCGGUAAUACGGAGGGUGCGAGCGUUAAUCGGAAUUACUGGGCGUAAAGCGCAUGCAGGUGGUUUGUUAAGUCAGAUGUAGAAAGGACCCGGGGCUCAACCUACGGAAUAGCAUUUAGAAACUGGCAGACUAGAGUACUGUAGAGGGGGGUAGGAAUUUCAGGUGUAGCGGUGAAAUGCGUAGAGAUCUGAAGGAAUACCGGUGGCGAAGGCGGCCCCCUGGACAGAUACUGACACUCAGAUGCGAAAGCGUGGGGAGCAAACAGGAUUAGAUACCCUGGUAG